UUGCUUUAGGGAUGGAAUGAAUGAUAUCCCCUGAGAUUUAAUUCACCCUAUCACUUUGUCACCAAAUUCCUUAGAAUUUUUUACUAAUUUACAAUUUGCUGAUCAUUAAGGGGUGGAAUAUAU
rfam:Helianthus annuus linkage group 14, whole genome shotgun sequence.